rnacentral:lncRNA from 1 species
GUCCUGUCCUUGUGCCUCUUGCAGAGCUGCUCCUGUCCCAUACGGUGACUUCUUCUAGCUUUGGUGAGUCUCACCAUCACUGGCUUCUCCGUGUGUCCGUCUGAUCCUUUGUUCGGGGCACCAAGACCUGGAAAGAAGCCCCCCGGAACCUCCAUCUGAUUCCCAGUCCCACGGGAGUGCAGCGUCAGAGAAGCAGCACCGUGACCUGGGCAGCGGAUCCCCGAAC